UACGUAGGGAGCAAGCGUUGUCCGGAAUCAUUGGGCGUAAAGCGCGCGUAGGUGGCCCCAUAAGUCCGCUGUGAAAGUCAAAGGCUCAACCUUUGAAAGCCGGUGGAUACUGUGGGACUAGAGUACGGAAGAGGCGAGUGGAAUUCCUGGUGUAGCGGGUGGAAUGCGCAGAUAUCAGGAGGAACACCAAUAGCGAAAGCAGCUCGCUGGGACGUUACUGACACUGAGGCGCGAAAGCGUGGGGAGCGAACAGG
rnacentral:rRNA from 1 species